rnacentral:sRNA from 1 species
GGGCACAAGCAACAGGCAAAGCCUGCACUUUCCCUCUCAGAAAGGGACCCGGUGGCCUGGGAGAACUGUUCCCAAAGCUGACUACAGCUGCUUUCUUACUCUCAGUAACUCUCACGGCGGCGGCGUGAAGCUCCAGGGAGACAGGCCUCUGUCCUCAGGGAAGCCAGCACUCCAGGUCUCUGUUUAGAAAGUCUCUUUUUGGCUGAUUCCUCUGCUGUGAACACAGCACCCCACCUUGGACACUCAAGAGUUAUUAAGCCAGUGACGAUCUGUUUCAAAAGGACGGUAUUAUUCAAACCUGAGCAGAAAGUCCUUGUGACCUGCACACUCCAAGUCUGACAGGAGGUCCCACGGCACUGUGUCUAAUCAAAGGCCUGAGACAAGGUUACAGUGAGACCCACACAUGGGCAGAGAGACAUCACAGUGAAGAAGGAGACAGGAGAGGAGCUUGUGGCCGCUGGAACUGAAGAAUGGGAAGGCAGAUGCCGAGUGUCCUCCAGGCAAAGACGAAACUUGAGAUACGGGCAGAGAUUCUGUGUGACUCGUCCAUCACUCAGCCAGAAACAUCUAAACCCUCGAAGCCAAGGGAGAGCCAAGAGCCACUGGGAGUGGAGAGAAGCAGUGCUUUUGUGACUCAGAAACGCUUCAAUGGAAGCCAGAGAGGGAGAACUCUGGAGGGAUGCCCACGUCAAAACCUCUCUGCCUCCUGACUCAGUUCACAGAGCAACAAAAAUCACUGGGCUUCACGGAAUGGGACAGCCAGGCUGUGUAGUGAUGGGCUGGGCAAGCAGAAGUCAGUAAUAGUGAAGAUUUAAAGUCCGUCUGAGGGGCUGGGGAUGCAGCUAAGUUGGCUGAGAACUUCCCUUGCGUUGCGUGAACCAGGAUUGGUCAGCAGGACUGCACCAACAGGGCAUGAUGGUUCACGUGUUCGGUCUGCAACCCUGGCAUGGGUAAGAGAGGAGCCCAAGGUCAUCUUUACUUAGAGUCUUAAAGAAAUAAAAGUAAAUGGCUGAGAGAAGGAAAAUCACCCUGGACCGGUUAUCAAAUGCCAAGCAGUGAGUUCUAAAUGACCACACUACACAUGAGCUCAGCACCAAAGUCUUGCUCUCUAAUUAUCGUUGCAUAUAUAUAGAUGUGCAUAUCUAUAACACAUAUACAUACAUGCACAUAUACAUAUAUGAAUAUG